AUUGUUAAGAAGAAACAGCCGUUUCUCACCUUACAGCAUUGCUAGUAGGGUUUUUGAUAAGUCAACUAUUACUAUAAAUUGACUAUUAGAGGACGGCAUAUGCCGUCCUUUUUUAUAUAC
rfam:Clostridiales bacterium oral taxon 876 str. F0540 genomic scaffold Scaffold65, whole genome shotgun sequence.